rnacentral:tRNA from 1 species
ACCUGGGUGGCUCAGUUGGUUGAGCGUCUGACUUCGGCUCAGGUCAUGAUCUCACAGUUUGUGAGUUCAAGCCCCAUGUCAGGCU